rnacentral:lncRNA from 1 species
AGAAUCUAGUAAAAGAUGCAAUAUAAUUUUCAUAAUUUCAGUGAUACUUACAAGGGGGCACAAAUAGCUUAAACAUAAUGUCAUUAUUUUUAGUUUUACCAACAGCUUAUACUAUUAAAAAAGAAAAGAUGUUAUUGGUACUGUUUCUUUUUCUCUUUUUUUCUUUUAUGCUUUGCAUUUCAUCUAUUAAAGAAUAAACUACAAGAAAAGUGAUUAUUUCCUUUGGAAGAUUUUUUUUUCAAAUCCCACAUUCAUAAAUAUGUAUAGGUUUACACUGAAAUCCAUUUUCAAAACUUUUAGGAACCAAGAUCAGUAAUGAAAAAAGACAAGUUUGAGAAUAGCAAAGUCAGACAUGUCAAAAAAAUACAUUCAAGAAAUCAUAAGAAGCAACAUUAAACAGCAAAAAUAGUCUUGAGAACCAAAGUAAAACUCACAGUCUGGGCCAGGCAUGGUGGCUCACGCCCGUAAUCCUAACACUUUAGGAGGCCAAGGUGGCAGACUGCCUGAGUGCAGAAGUUCAAGAGCAGCCUGGGCAACAGGGUGAAACCCCGUCGCUGCUAGACACAAAAAAAAUUAGUCGGGUGUGGUGGCACAUGGCUGUAGUGCCAGCUACUGGGGACGCUAAGGCAUGAAAAUUGCUUGAGCCCAGGAGGUGGAGGCUGCCGUGAGCCGAGAUGGUGCCACUGCACUCCAGCCUAGACAACAGAGCAAGACUCUGUCUCAAAAAAAACAAAGCAAAGCAAAACAAAACAAAACACAACACUCACAGCCUAAAAAUGUGGUUACACUCAAAUAUAGAAUUGGAAGUUCUCACAGAGUUUCUACUGCCUAGGAAUAACUUUGAGUAGGAGGAAAAAAGUUAUUAGACUCCACCCUGGGUCAAGAGAAAUUACGACUAAUGUUGAAACAUGAAAAUGUCUAAGGCCAUCAUACAUGUAUAUAUGUAAAGAUGUGAUACAGUAUGAAUAAGAAAUUUGUUAAUGAAUGUUUACUUGUAAUAUACAUUGUUACUAAUUAAUAAUAAUCCUAAUUCAUCUGCUUAAGCUCACUAUAUUCAGCCAGCAAAUGAUCUAAGCUAUAUAAGACAGGUAGUUGUCUAUUCUUUUCUUUAAACAUUUCAAGAUAUAAAAAUAUCACAUUUUUAGCUGCUUAGUUCAGUGUUAUCACAAGGGCUUCCUUAAGCUGAAUUAGCAUACCAUCAGAACUAAACUCAGUUCAUUCUUUUUGUUCAGAUGUUAUACUGAAUUCCAUUGUAUGAAUUAGAACAGACCAGAAUUUUCCUCCCAAAAUACUUCAUAUACAACUGUUAGCCUUUAAUGGCUAUUUUCUAGAAUAAAGACAUAUAAAUGCUUUAGACACUUUCAAUAUUUUCUAUCUAAUAAGCCUUUUUUUUCACCUUUUAUACUAUUCUGAACCAGCUUUCUCCCCAUUUUUGAAGUAGAAAAGCUGAAGUGUCAAGGAAAGGCCGUUUUUUAAUCUUUGUGAUUGUUUUUAACAUAGUGGCAACAAUCUGAAAUGUUCUGCUCAUGGUCAGCCAUGAGCACAAAGCCUUUUAAUCUGUUGUGCUUAAUCAAUUCUUUCAUACCAUACAUUUAAAACAGUAUGUCAAUCCUAAAGAUCUUACCAAAUAGCACUCUCAUAUGUAGGAUCGUAUUUCCAAUGUGUCAAAACAAUAGAAUUAUAUUUCUGCAUUUCAUCAUAUUAGACAAUCUAAGUUUAGUAUCUUCCACAAGGGUAACGGGGAUAUCUUCAACUGGUUCACUAAAUUUAUCAGAUAAUAUAAUAAACAAAGCAAAAUCUCAGGACAAGGACACUAAUUAUUGAAUCUAAAUAUAAGUUCAGAAGAGUGAGUGUAAUUGUACUACCUUAUUAGAUCAAACCAUAUGAAAUUGCCAUUAUUUGGUAAAAUCAGUUAAGUAUCAACAGUUUCAUAUAGUUCAAACUCAAGAGUAAAAAAUUAUAACAGUUUUUAAUCACUAAAUGUAUAAUCUUUUUCAAAUAGAUUGGCAGGCCUUUGAAUUAUAAACUCAAAGGUAAUAGUGAUGUCACAAGGGAGAUAUGCAUACAGAGAUAGUGAUCGCUUCUCUAAUUUGAAAAGGAGUUCUUCAAGUCUAGAAAGUUGUUAUCCA